rnacentral:rRNA from 1 species
AUUGAACGCUGGCGGCAGGCCUAACACAUGCAAGUCGAGCGAGCGGCGGACGGGUGAGUAAUGUCUGGGAAACUGCCUGAGGGAGGGGGAUAACUACUGGAAACGGUAGCUAAUACCGCAUACCAUCAGAUGUGCCCAGAUGGGAUGAGAGAGUAGGUGGGGUAACUGCUCACCUAGGCGACGAUCCCUAGCUGGUCUGAGAGGAUGACCAGCCACACUGGAACUGAGCCACGUUCCAGACUCCUACGGGAGGCAGCAGUGGGGAAUAUUGCACAAUGGGCUCAAGCCUGAUGCAGCCAUGCCGCGUGUGUGAAGAAGGCCUUCGGGUUGUAAAGCACUUUCAGCGGGGAGGCGUUACCCGCAGAAGAAGCACCGGCUAACUCCGUGCCAGCAGCCGCGGUAAUUC